AACGCGAAGAACCUUACCCAGGCUUGACAUGCAGUGGACGAUGCCAGAGAUGGCAUUUCCCUUCGGGGCUACUGCACAGGUGCUGCAUGGCUGUCGUCAGCUCGUGCCGUGAGGUGUUGGGUUAAGUCCCGCAACGAGCGCAACCCUUAUCAUUAGUUGCCAACACGUGAAGGUGGGAACUCUAAUGAGACUGCCUGGGUUAACCAGGAGGAAGGUGAGGAUGACGUCAAGUCCGCAUGGCCCUUAUGUCUGGGGCUACACACGUGCUACAAUGGUCGGUACAGAAGGCAGCGAAACCGCGAGGUGAAGCAAAUCCCAAAAGCCGAUCUCAGUUCAGAUUGUAGUCUGCAACUCGACUACAUGAAGACGGAAUUGCUAGUAAUGGCGUGUCAGCAACAACGCCGUGAAUACGUUCCCGGGCCUUGUACACACCGCGAGC
rnacentral:rRNA from 1 species